rnacentral:rRNA from 1 species
GACGAACGCUGGCGGCGUGCUUAACACAUGCAAGUCGAGCGAUGAACCUUUCAUGAAUUUUUCGGAAUGAUUGGAAGAGGAUUAGCGGCGGACGGGUGAGUAACGCGUGAGCAACCUGCCUUAAACAACGGGAUAGCCUCGGGAAACCGGGAUUAAUACCGUAUGAGACCCCGCCUUCACAUGAAGAAGAGGUUAAAGAUUUAUCGGUUUAAGAUGGGCUCGCGUCUGAUUAGCUAGUUGGUGAGAUAAAAGCCCACCAAGGCAACGAUCAGUAACCGGCUUGAGAGAGUGAACGGUCACAUUGGAACUGAGACACGGUCCAAACUGCUACGGGAGGCAGCAGUGGGGAAUAUUGCACAAUGGGGGAAACCCUGAUGCAGCGACGCCGCGUGAGCGAUGAAGGAAUUCGUUUCGUAAAGCUCUGUCCAAGGGGAAGAUAAUGACAGUACCCUUGGAGGAAGCCCCGGCUAAAUACGUGCCAGCCGCCGCGGUAA